rnacentral:misc_RNA from 1 species
GAUGAAGAACGCAGCGAAAUGCGAUAAGUAAUGUGAAUUGCAGAAUUCAGUGAAUCAUCGAUUCUUUGAACGCACAUUGCGCCCGCCAGUAUUCUGGCGGGCAUGCCUGUUCGAGCGUCAUUUCAACCAUCAAGCCCCCGGCUUGUGUUGGGGACCUGCGGCUGCCGCAGGCCCUGAAAACCAGUGGCGGGCUCGCUAGUCACUCCGAGCGUAGUAGUUACAUCUCGCUCAGGGCGUGCUGCGGGUUCCGGCCGUUAAAAGCCUUAUUUACCCAAGGUUGACCUCGGAUCAGGUAGGAAGACCCGCUGAACUUAAGCAUAUCAAUAAGCGGAGGA